GUAGGUGGCAAGCGUUGUCCGGGAAUUAUUGGGGCGUAAAGCGCGCGCAGGCGGGUUUUUUAAGUCUGAUGUGAAAGCCCACGGGCUCAACCGUGGGAGGGGUCAUUGGAAACUGGAGAACUUGAGUGCAGAAGAGGAGAGCGGAAUUCCACGUGUAGCGGUGAAAUGCGUAGAGAUGUGGAGGAACACCAGUGGCGAAGGCGGCUCUCUGGUCUGUAACUGACGCUGAGGCGCGAAAGCGUGGGGAGCAAACAGGAUUAGAUACCCUGGUAGUCCACGCCGUAAACGAUGAGUGCUAAGUGUUAGAGGGUUUCCGCCCUUUAGUGCUGCAGCAAACGCAUUAAGCACUCCGCCUGGGGAGUACGGUCGCAAAGACUG
rnacentral:rRNA from 1 species